AGGGCGGAGCCGUUCCUGUGCCGUAUAUAAGGCGGCCCCAGAGUCCCUCGCUCUCUUUUUUUCAACCGCCAUCGCUGGGGCAGUUCGGGUGAGAGCCCACAGCCUCGGCCAGGAUGCCCGUUGCCAGGAGCUGGGUGUGCCGGAAGACCUAUGUCACCCCCCGGCGCCCCUUCGAGAAAUCCCGUCUCGACCAGGAGCUGAAGCUCAUUGGCGAGUACGGGCUGCGGAACAAACGUGAGGUUUGGCGGGUGAAGUUCACCCUGGCCAAGAUCCGCAAGGCGGCCCGUGAGCUGCUCACGCUGGACGAGAAAGACCCUAAGCGCCUCUUUGAAGGCAACGCCCUGCUGCGACGGCUGGUGCGCAUCGGGGUGCUGGACGAGGGCAAGAUGAAGCUGGAUUAUAUCCUGGGCCUCAAGAUCGAGGAUUUUCUGGAGCGGCGCCUCCAGACCCAGGUCUUCAAGCUGGGCCUGGCCAAGUCCAUCCACCACGCCCGGGUGCUGAUCCGCCAGAGACACAUCCGCCCUCCUGGAUGAGCCUGUGAGGCACGUGGAGCCCCCUGCCCAGUGGGCCUGGGGAGCCCCCCAGUCGGGCUAAGCCGGCGCGCCGGCUAGCGGGCGGUAGGGCCGCCCGUCUCGGCAAGGUUCACUGCGGCAGAGCCGUACACCUUGCGAAGGGCCAAGGCCGUUCCACCAGCCCCCUGCGCUCGGGGCUGCUGCACAGUGUGCGGAAGCAGGUCGUGAACAUCCCGUCCUUCAUUGUGCGCCUGGACUCGCAGAAGCACAUCGACUUCUCGCUGCGCUCGCCCUACGGGGGCGGCCGGCCUGGCCGCGUCAAGAGGAAGAACGCCAAGAAGGGGCAG